rnacentral:rRNA from 1 species
CCUACGGGAUGCAGCAGUGGGGAAUAUUGCACAAUGGGGGAAACUCUGAUGCAGCGACGCCGCGUGAGUGAAGAAGUAUCUCGGUACGUAAAGCUUUAUCAGUAGGGAAGUAAAAGAUGGUACCUGACGAAGAAGCUCUGGCUAAAUACGUGCCAGCAGCCGCGGUAAUACGUAGGGGGCAAGCGUUAUCCGGAUUUACGGGGUGUAAAGGGAGCGUAGACGGCAGCGCAAGUCUGGAGUGAAAUCCCAUGGCUUAACCAUGGAACUGCCUUGGAAACUGUGAAGCUAGAGUGCAGGAGAGGUAGGCGGAAUUCCUGGUGUAGCGGUGAAAUGCGUAGAUAUUAGGAGGAACACCAGUGGCGAAGGCAGCUUACUGGACUGUAACUGACAUUGAGGCUCGAAAGCGUGGGUAGCAAACAGGAUUAGAUACCCUGGUAGUC